AUUGAACGCUAGCGGGAUGCUUUACACAUGCAAGUCGAACGAAUGUCGGACGGGUGAGUAAUCUAUCGGAACGUGCGCAGUAGAGGGGGCUAACUACUCGAAAGGGUGGCUAAUACAGACUACUAUUUGCGCGGCCGAUAUCGGAUUGGCUAGUUGGUGGGGUAAAGGCUCACCAAGGCGACGAUCCGUAGCUGGUUUGAGAGGAAGACCAGCCACACUGGGACGGAGACACGGCCCAGACUCCUACGGGAGGCAGCAGUGGGGAAUAUUGGACAAUGGGGGAAAGCCUGAUCCAGCCAUCCCGCGUGUAUGAGAAGGCCUUCGGGUUGUAAAGUACUUUUGGCAGAGAAGCGGUAUCUGCAGAAUAAGCACCGGCUAACUACGGGCCAGCCGCCGCGGUAAUAC
rnacentral:rRNA from 1 species